AUUGAACGCUGGCGGCAGGCCUAACACAUGCAAGUCGGGCGAGUGGCGGACGGGUGAGUAAUGUAUGGGGAUCUGCCUGAUGGAGGGGGAUAACUACUGGAAACGGUAGCUAAUACCGCAUACCAUCAGCUUAACCCAUAUGGGAUUAGCUAGUAGGUGAGGUAACGGAUCACCUAGGCGACGAUCCCUAGCUGGUCUGAGAGGAUGAUCAGCCACACUGGAACUGAGACACGGCCCAGACUCCUACGGGAGGCAGCAGUGGGGAAUAUUGCACAAUGGGCGAAAGCCUGAUGCAGCCAUGCCGCGUGUAUGAAGAAGGCCUUCGGGUUGUAAAGUACUUUCAGUCGGGAGGCGUUACCGACAGAAGAAGCACCGGCUAACUCCGUGCCAGCAGCCGCGGUAAUAC
rnacentral:rRNA from 1 species